CUGUUUUGGAUGGUAAAAGUCCAGCUGGUAGACAGUCUUGGAAGGGGAAAGAAAGAGCAAGGACAGUUCUCUGCAGCCAAUCAAGUCAGAAACGGGCAUCCUGUGCUGCUCAGAAUUUUGGUAGGAAGAUGCCAGCCUGUGAAGACAAUCCUUCUUCAAUUUAACUGACUAAGGUUUUCCUGCAGAAGAGGUUCAAAACAUAUGACUGGUGAGAAAUUUUAAGACUUCGAACUUCUUUAAAAAUUAGUAUUCAGUUAAGGUUACCUGAAGCUUCUUUAAGUUUAAAUAUUAUAAAAUUUUCUGGCUCAAAUCCCCUAUCCUUUAUAAACUCUUCUUUGUCCACUCUAACUCUCAGUAACAUGUGCACCAUGGCAAUAACGGUUUGCUCAUUCAUUCAUUCAUUUCUUCAUUCAUUCAAGAAAUAUUUGUUAAAUAUCUGUCUUAGUCUGUUUGUGUUGCUAAAAGGAAAACCAGAGACUGGGUAAUUGAGAUAGAAAAUAGGUUUCUUUGGUUCACAGUUCUGCAGGCUGUAGAAGAAGCACGGUUCCAGCAUCUGCUCCUGGUGAGGCCUCAGGCUGCUUGCACUUGUAGUGGAAGAGGAAGGGGAGACAGUGUGUGCAGAGACCACACG
rnacentral:lncRNA from 1 species